rnacentral:rRNA from 1 species
ACUACGGGGGGCAGCAGUAGGGAAUAUUGCUCAAUGGGGGAAACCCUGAAGCAGCAACGCCGCGUGGAGGAUGAAGGUUUUCGGAUUGGAAACUCCUUUUGUUAGAGAAGAGAAUGACGGUAUCUAACGAAUAAGCACCGGCUAACGCCGUGCCAGCAGCCGCGGUAAUACGGAGGGUGCAAGCGUUACUCGGAAUCACUGGGCGUAAAGAGCGCGUAGGCGGGAUAGCAAGUCAGAUGUGAAAUCCUAUGGCUUAACCAUAGAACUGCAUUUGAAACUGUUAUUCUAGAGUAUGGGAGAGGUAGGUGGAAUUCUUGGUGUAGGGGUCAAAUCCGUAGAGAUCACGAGGAAUACUCAUUGCGAAGGCGACCUGCUAGAACAUCCCUGACGCUGAUGCGCGAAAGCGUGGGGAGCAAACAGGAUUAGAUACCCUUGUAGUC